rnacentral:rRNA from 1 species
GACUUCUGGUCUAAUGCGCCUGGCCCGCGGUCGUACGACAUGUGAGUGCCGGUGCGCGUUUACCAUCCUUCUAGAAAACGAGUCUUCCCUUUACUGGGCCGGACUAGGGAUCUAGAUCAGCAGGCUAUUGCUAUGAAUACAUUAGCAUGGAAUAAUAAUCUAGGACUUCGGUUCUAUUUUGUUGGUUUCUCUAGCUGAAGUAAUGAUUGAUAGGGAUAGUUGGGGGUGCUAGUAUUGGCCGGUCAGAGGUGAAAUUCUUCGAUUCGGUCAAGACUACCUUCUGCGAAAGCAUU